AUUGAACGCUGGCGGCAGGCCUAACACAUGCAAGUCGAGCGGCAGCGGGACCUUCGGGUUGCCGGCGAGCGGCGGACGGGUGAGUAAUGCCUAGGAAUCUGCCUGUUAGUGGGGGAUAACGCGGGGAAACUCGCGCUAAUACCGCAUACGUCCUAUGGGAGAAAGCGGGGGCUCUUCGGACCUCGCGCUACAGAUGAGCCUAGGUCGGAUUAGCUAGUUGGUGGGGUAAUGGCCCACCAAGGCGACGAUCCGUAACUGGUCUGAGAGGAUGAUCAGUCACACUGGAACGGAGACACGGUCCAGCAUCCUACGGGAGGCAGCAGUGGGGAAUAUUGGACAAUGGGCGAAAGCCUGAUCCAGCCAUGCCGCGUGUGUGAAGAAGGUCUUCGGAUUGUAAAGCACUUUAAGUCGGGAGGAAGGACUGUAGGCUAAUACCUUGCAGUUUUGACGUUACCGACAGAAUAAGCACCGGCUAACUUCGUGCCAGCCGCCGCGGUAACAC
rnacentral:rRNA from 1 species